rnacentral:lncRNA from 1 species
UGAAAAUCUAAACACUAGAACGGAAUAUCCAAAUCCAAAGAAAUUUUUACCCACACAAAAGCUAUAGAAAAACUUGUUCAAAAUUCUGUUCGUCAUAUUCCUUGGUGUAACACUUAUUUUUAUGACUAUAUACGUGCUUUAUUUUUAUAUAAUAAAUCCAUCUUCUUAAUGUGAUGAAGUUCAGAUGGAAUGAUGUUCAAAAAGUUGCGCCAUGAUUUAUUUAAGGAGGAUCAAUGGCAUUCACCUAGUGGCAAGUAUUUUAUAGUGAUUAAACGUGAAAUGAGAUUGAACUACUUUUCAUGUUAUUCAGAACGUAUUCACUAAUUAUCUGAUUUAUUCGAUAUUUUUUUAAUAGAUUCUCCUAAUUUCUGUUCAAAUUACAAAUUUAAAACGGAUAUUCCACCUCUCAGCCACACUGGCGCCACGGGCUGACUGGGAAGCUACUGCGCACACAAGUAAAAGCUCGCAGCUAUAGCAAAAAAAGUAGCUACCAAAACUCCCCGCACACUGAUGGAGGGCGCACUGCACACGUAACUGAAAUUUGAACGAUUUUUGUGUCAUCUGCAUAGAAAAUACAAUUUUUAUGCUGGCAUGCAGCAUGACCACAUAAUAAAUUGUAGAUAUCUAUAAAGAUAGAACCUCCUUCGGGCAUUUCCGUACAAAAUUUAUGGAAGACACUUUGGAUAGCAAGUAGAUUGGAUGCAACUUUGUUGUAGAGCAAAACGCACAGAGAUCGGGUCGCUCAACUGCCAUAAACCCAUUCUCCACAGGCAGGGGCUGCGACUGAGCCUUGGUUGAUUGACUUCUCUUGAUAUUAAACCGACCAAAUUCCCGCCCCUCUGCUGGACAGUCGACCCCCCCUCACUUUUCUCAUGAAAAUUAUGCAAAUGGCAAAAAGUGUCAAACGCAUUGUGGUGGCUGGCUGAUGGCCCCCAUCAUGCAGGCCUGUCAAAUAAAUCAAAUUUGACUACAAUCCCAGCCCGGUUUUGCCAGCCAAUUCCAAGUUCAGUGGCGCUGGAGCCUGGAAAUGGGCGAUUAAUCAAGAGUUCAGCAAACGCUUUUCCGAAGAGUCACUGCCAAUGGAGAUGCAUAAUUUUUGCAUGUGGAAUUACAUGACACGUGAGCUGUAAGUACUGCCAUCAUUUAACCAAAUGAAGACUGCCACACAGACCUGCCACAGACGUUGCACAGACGACGACGAAGACGAUUGUCAGAGCAAUGAACUUGGACUUCUCUUGCAGAGAUCGGCUGGAGCACGCUUGACUGAGCGCAGACACAGCCAAGGGGCAAGGAGCUGCAGCAGUCAGAACAAACCAAAGAGGCAGCAAACAUGUUUGGUCUGGUGGGGUGGUGGCUGGCAGCCCCACAACUGAUUGCCACAUGUACGAGAAUGCGACUGUGUGUGCUGCCACAUGUGCUGCCUGGCUUGUCUCUGGUUCUGGUUGAUCUUGCCACAUGGCUACGUACGUACGUACAGCGGGGAGCAUAUUCGUUUCGCAAUUGAGUUCCUUCUGGCUUCCAACAGGUUUAACUCUUUGAUCUGCCCACCUUCCUUCUUCUCUCUCUCUCUCUCUCUCUUUCUGUGGCGACUUUUGAUCUUUCGCACAAGUCGGAGCAGGAAUUGGAGGAGGAGCUGCAGUGGAGGAGAACAUGCGCCCAUUAGACCCGGGCAGAGUCACUCAGGUGUGGCAUAAGCUACAGGAGAAGCUCCAGCACUGCAGGCAGGCACUGAGGAUGAAAUAGAGGAGCAGACACACAGUCCAGAGCCCAGAGCUGGAGCCUAGCCCAUAAUUAAUAUUGUUGUAAAUUUGAUUUAACACUUCAUGGCCGAAACCAGUUGGCCAAAGAAGUCAAGGAACUUCAUUUAGAUGCCACUCCGAAUGCCACUCUUGGGAAUGUCUUUUCCAGCAGCAAUUUAUUUGCCUUCCCCUUUAAAAUUCAUUAAUUAAUUUACACCACGCGCAAUUUGCAUUUAGUUUUUGCCAUUAAAU